rnacentral:rRNA from 1 species
UACAGAGGUCCCAAGCGUUGUUCGGAUUCACUGGGCGUAAAGGGUGCGUAGGCGGUCGGGUAAGUCUGACGUGAAAUACCGAAGCUCAACUUCGGAAUGGCGUCGGAAACUACUUGGCUGGAGGAUUGGAGGGGGGACUGGAAUUCUCGGUGUAGCAGUGAAAUGCGUAGAUAUCGAGAGGAACACCUGUGGCGAAGGCGAGUCUCUGGACAAAUCCUGACGCUGAGGCACGAAAGCUAGGGGAGCAAACAGG